rnacentral:sRNA from 1 species
GAUUCCACUGCUUUUGGGACUGAUAUUACCUAUUCAACUGGCGCUAUUAUGUGAUUUGAUUCUUCGUUGCCUCAUCGCGCUGCACUGCACUGCAAGGCAAUCUUCAUAAUUUUGACUGCCUCUCAAUCAAUUCAGUUGAAUAUUCAGUCCUCAAAUGGAGUUUCUUAGUCAAAGUAACCGGUGACAACGGUGUAUGACUCGCCGGCUAGACAAGAAUCCCAGACUUAGCCCUGCGUAUCCAGGUAUGGCGCAGCACACCGUGGCAUGGUUUGACAGCGGCGUUAGCCAGUCAACAUCCUUGGCCUGACAACAACAAAAUUUUUCAAGGGCAGCGUCGUCAGAAGCGCGAGGCUAAAUCUGACGGCUCUCAAGAACUCAGCAAGAAACCCCCCACUUCCCCUGUGAAGAUUUGAGCCCUGCUCGUUCGGAUGACCGAGCGACCUAACAGAACCAACCACGGCCGCCACCACUCAUCCAAGCAACGGAAGUGCUCCGGAAUCAGCGAUGAUGGAAAUGAUGCUGGAGUUUUGUUGUAAUGGCAUCUAGUUACUUCAAGUUCUGUUCGCAAGCUUGCCUCGAGAAAAUCGGGCUUGAUGAACACGAAAUAAAAUGAAGAUGGAAACCACCUGGUUCGUACUACGGAGUCGCGCGAUUUGAGGUGCAUCCAUGGAUGUUAUAGAUAGGGGAAAUCCAACCUCACCUCAAAGUCAAUACCAACACAGAUUUCUCCACGCAACCCAACAAUCCCUCCACCAGAUCCAGUUACCGGACAAUAACAAUUCCUUCCCGGCAUAUGUACGCUUUCACGGGCUCUGUCCGACCUGUCCACCGGCUUUCCGCGAAGCGCACUGUCCCGCAAUCGAGAGCGGGGGCCGGACCAUGAUGAUGCCAUUCCGACUACACAGGGGAGCAAACGGCGUUUGCGUAGGAUGGAAAUCAAACAUUUUAGACGCCAAGGGUCAGAGGGGAAUGUGCUAGGCUUGUAGAUUGGCUCGUCAUGUAUCCGGAUGUUGUCGCUACAGAGUUCAAGCCGGGGUGUUUACUUCAGAUUACGUUUGACGAAGUCUUAUCGCAGAGUCUGUGCAGAGCGGAAUGGAAGCAGGGGAUGUAUUUUAUAUCUGCUUCAAUCAUUCUGAAGAUAGAAAAAGGUAAAGAUGAACAAAUAAAUAAAAAGAAUUAAGAGCAUGGCUCGAUGGAAAGUCAGCAUCCUCCCUCAUUAUUAUUGUUGUUAUUAUUCCCUCUGAACUAUCGUGGCUUCCCUCCUCCCCCCCCAAACGAAAUGAUCCGCCUCGGAAUCCCCAACCAGUGAAUCCACCUGGAGAUGGCGAUAUCAUCGAUCGUGAUAUCUCCCUACGCGACAAGCGCUAGCUACCACACAAACAAAAACAAGUUAUAUUGUCUCAGUGAGCCUGCCAAGGCGGACGCAGACCUCAUUCAUUCAUAUACUUUCUCACUCACUCACUCACUCACUCUGCCACUCUGCCACUCAGCCCGAACUCAUCACAAACAGCCCGCAAAAUCGCUCACACGAGGCUAUCAAGCUCCCGUGAAAAACCGCGCACACAGCCCAUCCGGGGGGCUCUUAACAAUGCCAAACCGCGAAGCACCCAAAAGGGCCAGACGGAACCUGAAAGUAUGCCACGUCAUGUCAUGGGGCGGGCAACCCACGACAUCAAUACACACCUACCUGCUAACAUUAGAUUCCGGGAACAUGUGAACAGGGAACCAUGGCCGUGCCGUUGCGUUACGGUGCCCACCUGCCUGCCCGGGUGAGCGUGCCGGGAUUCGAAGGCGGUUGAUCAGGGUACGUAGAAGCCGGCAUGGGCAUUGCGUGGCCGUUUUCGAUCGAAACCCUAUCGCUGCCUCUCGUCUCCCCGGUCCCCCGUGCGCUUAUGAGUUUCGUAAACAAUGCAAGAACAUAUUCGGCCGAUGGGGACAUCACACUUUUGCUCGGUGCGGAAACGGGCGUCGAAGUUCCUGACGAAUAAUUGCCGCGUACGGAAAUUUCUCCAGCGGAACGGGAUUACCGAUAGCCGACGGCAAUGGAUGGACAUUUUGGUGGCGCAAACGGCUGAUUGGGUUCACGGCCGGAAUUAGGCUGGCGGUGAGAAGAUCGGGCCGGCCUAUAUUGAUAAGGGUAGAGAAGCCGUUUCAAUUCCCGUGAAGAGAUAAGAACAUUUUCUUAUUACAUCAAGCCUUGGAAAUACAACAUGUCACGGAAAUAGCUGCUGGGUCUGCAGCGUUCGAGACAUUUCCUGGAAUUAACCUCAUCGGUAGUUAGUCCUAAUACUACAACUGCUACUUGGAGCUUUCUUAAGCGCUUACUUUUAUAUCGAUCGCCAACUCAAAUACAAUAGUGAUGUCAGGUGUUAGCCAGGGACCAGGCGGAGGGCGCAUUUUCCCUUUCUAUGUAUGUAUGUACACACGGCUUUUAGCAUUGUUUUGCUUCUACUGGACGUUUGUUCCCACAAGAACUGCCAGGGUCGCAAAUCCUAGCUCUAUCGGAAAGACGCGGCAUGGAAGAAUGGUACUGAUGGAAUGAAAGCGUAGAGUUUUACAGAUUCCCGUGUUUGAGGAAAAGCGAGUUGAUGUUGAGUCGUUGAUAUUUGGAAGUUCAAAGAGUGUAUAUACUUAGUGAGUAUAAUCCAGGCUGUAAGUGAAGCAUGUUGAACUGCUUCAGCAAGACAAUAGAAUUCCCUAACCGUUGAAGUUAGGGGGGGAAAAUAAGGAGACAAAACCGAAACCUUGCUCCCACAACUUCUUCAGUAAUCAUCUCCUCGGGAAAUCACCUCCUUGCAAUUUGGCCGGAGCAAAACAGUCUGUUCCAGAAGAUUCUGUUAGAAUUUUUCACGUUAACUCAACAAACGUGAGCCUACUUACAUGCUCAAACUGUGCGACGUAGGAUCCAGGAACAUCCACAAGCGGCGCAUACGACUGGACGAUACCAUUAGUGACGAGCGAUCUCAUACCGAGAUGAUAUCUCUGUACCCCCAACCGCUCAAGGUAGCGCCUGGAGAAAACCAGAGUCCCGAAAUUCUCCUUGAUGGUUUUCAAUAGCGACUUGGCCGAGGAGUGAUGUAGCCCGGCCGUGCUGGCAUUCUCAUCGUACCCGUACCCGUAGAUUCCGGUGGCAUCAUCGAGAUACGCUUUUCCAGUACUGCCGAACGUUUCAAUAGCGAACACGUCGCCUUCUUCCAUGCGCUGGUUGGUCUGUGUCUUCACGAAUGGGACUUGUUUGUCACCGUGGAUCUUGUAAUGCAGGAUGUUAUGACCCGUGAUGUUUCGAACCGCCUUUACGGGGAUGACCUUCCGGUUGAGCUCAACCUCGUAACUCUCCAUUACCUCUUGGAUUGUCUCACUGAUGUGAGCGAUCCUGGCGUCAAUGCCUGCUUCCUGAGCUUUCCUUUAGCUUUUGCACAGCCCUACGGUGUAGAAAAAAAAAAUCGAUUCGCAUACCUUGAGUCCAGUAUUGGUCGCAUUCUUGACAGCUGCAAGCAAAUUAUCGUAGACUGGAUUGAAAGCCAUGGUAAAGGCGCUAUCCACGAUCCUGCCGUUGACAUGAACUCCGAAAUCUAUUUUCAAAACAUCAUCAUACUGGAGGAUAACCUCCUUGGCACCAGGAUUAGGGGUCCAGUGAGCUGCGAUGUUAUUCAAACAGAGUCCGGUGGGAAAGGCCAUGCCGGCUUUGAGAGCGUCUCCAGUCUCAAGACCUUGGUGAUUGGUUAGUGCACGAACGCCGUCCUCGAUUUCUUGGGCAAGCUGGCUGAGCGCAAUGCCGGGUUUGAUGAUUGUCUGCACAUACUGGCGGACUUGGCGAUGGACUUCGGCAGCGUUGCGGUAGUCAUUUAGGAACUCAUCGUCCAUAGCGUUCAAAACGGAUAGAUGACGGAGUUCUUCAGCAGUGGUGCGCUGAAGAUUGUCAUUGUCCGAGCUGUAUUUGACAAUUUCAGCUUCCGGGUAUCGCUGACUGCGAAAAAUGUUCGCUAAUGCAACCC